rnacentral:rRNA from 1 species
UCUAGCAUGUACGCAAGUCAUUGGGAUGUACGAAACCCAAAGGCGAAAUGAAAGUGAAGGUAAGCCUUGUGCAAACCGAGGGCUGAUAUGUGUAAUGCAUCGCAGGCCCAAGGCGUCCUAUACUUAUUGCAAGUUGGGGCGCACUCAGAGCGUACACGCUGGGACCCGAAAGAUGGUGAACUAUGCCUGGUCAGGAUGAAGUCAGGGGAAACCCUGAUGGAGGUCCGUAGCGAUUCUGACGUGCAAAUCGAUCGUAAGAACUGGGUAUAGGGGCGAAAGACUAAUCGAACCAUCUAGUAGCUGGUUCCCUCCGAAGUUUCCCUCAGGAUAGCUGGCAUUUGUGUGUGUGAGUUUCAUCCGGUAAAGCGAAUGAUUAGAGGCAUUGGGGCCGAAACGGCUUCAACCUAUUCUCAAACUUUAAAUGGGUGAGAUCGUCAGCCUGCUUGAUGUGUGUGAGGCUGGCGUGUGAAUCGUGAGUGCCAAGUGGGCCACUUUUGGUAAGCAGAACUGGCGCUGUGGGAUGAACCAAACGUCGGGUUAAAGCGCAUAAAUCGACGCUAAUGGGAUACCAUAAAAGGCGUUGGUAACUUAA